rnacentral:rRNA from 1 species
CCUACGGGGGGCAGCAGUGGGGAAUAUUGCACAAUGGGGGAAACCCUGAUGCAGCGACGCCGCGUGAGUGAAGAAGUAAUUCGUUAUGUAAAGCUCUAUCAGCAGGGAAGAAAAUGACGGUACCUGAGUAAGAAGCCCCGGCUAACUACGUGCCAGCAGCCGCGGUAAUACGUAGGGGGCAAGCGUUAUCCGGAUUUACUGGGGUUAAAGGGAGCGUAGACGGCAGUGCAAGUCUGGAGGGAAAGGCGGGGGCUCAACCCCCGGACUGCUCUGGAAACUGUACGGCUUGAGUGCAGGAGAGGGAUGGGGAAUUCCGGGUGUAGCGGUGAAAUGCGUAGAUAUUAGGAGGAACACCAGGGGCGAAGGCGGCUUACUGGACUGUAACUGACGUGGAGGCUCGAAAGCGUGGGGAGCGAACAGGAUUAGAUACCCCUGUAGUC